UAGCUAUGUUCGGAAAAGAUAACCGCUGAAAGCAUCUAAGCGGGAAACUUGCCUCAAGAUGAGAUCUCACUGGGAACUUGAUUCCCCUGAAGGGCCGUCGAAGACUACGACGUUGAUAGGCUGGGUGUGUAAGCGUUGUGAGGCGUUGAGCUAACCAGUACUAAUUGCCCGUGAGGCUUGACCAUAUAACACCCAAACA
rnacentral:rRNA from 1 species